AAAAAUACCUGGCAAGGGAGCUACUGUGAUCACACAGAUGGAUCAGUAGAUCACAAAGCCAGGACGAGGCUUAUCCAUUGAGCUCUGGAUAUGCUGACUCCUGUGAUUUCCCCAAACAUGGGAAGCUCUGUUGCAUACUUUGUGGUGCGGGGGGACUGAACUCUCCCCUG